UGGGGAAUUUUGGACAAUGGGCGCAAGCCUGAUCCAGCCAUGCCGCGUGCAGGAUGAAGGCCUUCGGGUUGUAAACUGCUUUUGUACGGAACGAAAAAGCUUUCUCUAAUACAGGGGGUGAAUGACGGUACCGUAAGAAUAAGCACCGGCUAACUACGUG
rnacentral:rRNA from 1 species